rnacentral:rRNA from 1 species
AUGUGCGAGGAGCGACCUGAGUUCUAUGAAGUGGGUAAGGCUAGUGUAGAGAGGGGUAUACGAGACUCUCUUUUCUGGCCUGAUGGCUCAAAGAAGAUGUCCGUGAAAUCGGAACCGGUUGAUGAAAGCCGUUGCUGGAUGCUCCAGCUGGUUCAAGCUUUGGUGCACAAGUAUAACGAGGAUCACAAUCUUUUCAAGGAUCUUGCGUUUGAAGUUACAGAUGUUGUGUGCUAUGAAGUAAUAUAUGAGGGAAACUGCCGCUACGACCAUGUUAAUUUCACUACAAGGACCAAAGGAGAAAAGACCACCGACAAUCUGUUCUUUGCUGAAGUCAAACGUAUGCCAGGAGAAGACGAAAAAUUGGUGGUCAGCUGUACCUGCUUGGUUGAUCCUUUUGAUAACGGUCACUGCUACGGCUGCGAAAGUAAUAUGAAGCACCCCAAUGCUGAUGCAUACAGUGGUGGUCACUCUAAGGUUUGCAACUUGAAGGGAGAAUGUCUUGGACCUAAUAUAGCGAUCGCAGAGACUAUGGAUGACUGGAAAGCUGAGGAAGCGAGGGUAAGACAAACGUUCAAGGGCCUUGAUGAUCCAACUGUUGUGGCGCGACUCAUGGAACCACCCAAGUUGAACUUCGGAGCAACCAAGGCCACCGAUGAGGAAGUAGAACGUUUUAUGAAUUCGAUCAUGGAACCAUACGAUCCUAACCUUUGCAGCACUUACGGCAUCCUCGAUGCUAGCGCCGCAGAAAGAUUUAGGGUGGCGCUAAAGUAA